rnacentral:siRNA from 1 species
AGAAAAGAUGAACACCACUAC